AAGUCAUAACAAGGUUUCCGUAGGUGAACCUGCGGAAGGAUCAUUAAUAAUGCCCUCUGACUUCGGUCAGCUGGGUUCAAAUGAGUGCCUUCUCUUCGGAGUUGGCCAUCCUCACACACCGUGAACUGUGGCUUCGGCCAUCCCAAACUGUUAGUAAUGAAUGUAAUAUCAUAACAAAAACAAAACUUUUAACAACGGAUCUCUUGGCUCUC
rnacentral:misc_RNA from 1 species